CGAGGUUGAGCAGUCUAUACUUGAUGACUUGAGAAACCAUGUACAGCUAAGCAGUGUUGCUCUGCCAUCUGUUAGUUUUUAUACAUUUAUCAAUGCACAUAAUGGUUUAAACUGUUCAACUAUAUCCCCUGACGGGUCAUUGGUUGCUGCAGGAUUUUCAGAUUCAUCGCUGAAGAUUUGGGAUAUGGCAAAGCUUGGGCAACAGGCUGUUGGUUG